AUGCUCAUUCUAGUGGAGGAGCCCGACGAGGCGAUGGAGUUCGAGAUCGCCGACGUACUCGUCUUGCCUGUGGAUGCGCUGGUGCCUCUCGAGAAGGCGAUGUUGGAAUACAAGGUCACCAUUCACAUAGUGAACACUGAAAAUACGCGGCAGAGCUCCGGCCCUUCCUUCGGCGACGAUGGCGACGACGAUGAUGAAUUCGACCAUCCUGCUGCGGAUCCAGACGGCCCGGGUGGCGCUCACCAUACCAGGUGUCGCUUCGCGUACACAAGAGGGGUGCCGGAUGGCACAAGCAGGCGGCGACAGCCGCCGACGAGACAAGGUGAUGCUUCAGGCCACCGACGGGUCGCAGUGGAUCUGCCAAUGGUGGUGGCACCUUGGACGCCGCGAACCAGCGAGGUGCAGGAUGCGGCUACCGUCGAGAGUGAGAUGGAGAUGGCCGGCGCGGUGGUGACGGUCCCGACGGCCGCCGGCGACGAGGUGGGAACGGGCACUCCUCCUCCGCACAGGAGGGGCCCAGAUCACGUGCCGGUCCAGAGGACGACUGAGAUGGAAAGGGAGGAGCCCGACACUUUGGUUAGCACCACGCUUUUGACCGAGGUGGGUGGAGAUGGACGGAUCCCGACGAUUCUAGACCCCCACUAG
rnacentral:rRNA from 1 species